rnacentral:rRNA from 1 species
UACGUAGGGACCGAGCGUUGUCCGGAAUCAUUGGGCGUAAAGAGCGUGUAGGCGGCUAUUUAAGUCCUGCGUGAAAUCCUGCGGCUCAACCGCAGACGGUCGUGGGAAACUGGAUGGCUAGAGUGCGGGAGAGGAGAGUGGAAUUCCCGGUGUAGCGGUGAAAUGCGUAGAUAUCCGGAGGAACACCGGUGGCGAAGGCGGCUUCCUGGACCGACACUGACGCUGAGGCGCGAAAGCCAGGGGAGCAAACGGG